rnacentral:rRNA from 1 species
AACGGAGGUAAUUCCUGAUAAUAUCAGUGGGAUGCAUAUUCUGCUGAUUAAAGGCAGGGACCGCAAGGCCUGUCGCUUAGGGAUUGGCUCGCGUCCUAUCAGCUAGUUGGUGAGGUAACGGCUCACCAAGGCGUUUGACGGGUAGCUGGUCUGAGAGGAUGGUCAGCCACACUGGGACUGAGACACUGCCCAGACUCCUACGGGAGGCUGCAGUCGAGAGUAUUUAGCAAUGGGCGAAAGCCUGACUAUGCGACGCCGCGUGAGGGAUGAAGGUCUUCGGAUUGUAAACCUCUUUUGUCAGGGGAGAAACCUCUUGUUCUAACAGGGCAAGAGCUGACGGUACCUGAUGAAUAAGCCACGGCCAACUCCGUGCCAGCAGCCGCGGUAGUACGGAGGUGGCAAGCGUUACUCGGAAUCAUUGGGUGUAAAGGGCAAGUAGGCGGUUUAAUAAGUGAGGGGUGAAAUCUUUCGACUCAAUCGGGAGAUUGCCUUUCAAACUGUUAAACUUGAAGCAGGAAGGGGGAAAUGGAAUUCGCGGUGUAAGGGUGAAAUCUGUAGAUAUCGCGAAGAACACCGGCGGCGAAGGCGGUUUCCUGGUCCUGUCUUGACGCUGAAUUGCGAAAGCUUGGGGAGCAAACAGAAUUAGAUACUCUGGUAGUCCAAGCCGUAAACGAUGAGCACUAGGUGUUGGGCCGUAAGGUUCAGUGCCGCAGCUAACGCAUUAAGUGCUCC